AAAAGAUUACAACUCCGCACAUUUCUACAUUGAUCUCUGCAUUGUGCAUGAUGUUUGGCAGUUACUACUGUUUUAACAUUCAUUACUCUUUGGAACUGGGUUCUACUCUGGAGUUCAUGCAAAGGUGCUUCUUCAGCAUAAACCCAGAGAAAGGCACCAAAGUUGAACCGAGGAAAAACAAAAAACAGCUCCCAGUGAACCCCCGAGUCCUUACACUCAUAGUAGGCCUUGCUGAUCAUGAAUGGAGAGCAGAUUAAGACUGGUACCAGAAUCCAAGGGCACUUGGAUAGCAUUGGAGAGAGUCUCCAGCCAUAUCUACUUGUUGUUGGGCCGAAGAGAAGUAGGGUCCAGUCUUGUUUUAAUGUAAUUGACCAACAUGCUCUACCAUGUAAGGUCUCUAAUUCACUGGCCUGUGUUGAUGAGCUUUUCAAAGCUCACUUUGUCUUUGGCACCUCAUAUUGUCAGGAAUUGACCAAUGUGUAUAGCUUUCUGCAAACCACUGUCUAUGACAUAGAUGUUGAAACCACCAAGGUGAAUCCCAGAGUAGCUGAGUUGAGAGCUAGAAUGCUCCAGUGAGCAGAUGAACUGUUUCAUUUGUAAAAGGGGGCAUGCUAGUGCCAAUGCCCUUAUAAGGCACUUUAAGUUAGUUCAUGGCCUUUGUCCAGGAAAAAGUCUGAAGUUAAAAUGUGCUGAAAGAGGUUGUUCACAUGUUUACCAUAGUUUUUCUGGAUUACGAAAGCAUCUCAGCAAGUGUUGUGCAAUUGACAGUUCACGCACCGAUUACGGUGUAAGCUCAUCCACCACCAACUCCAUUUCAUUAAGGGAUGUAGGUGUUUUACCAAACCAAAAUUCACCUUGUGAGUCUGUACUCCUAAAAACAAAUAUAGUAAACAGUUGUGCAACAGUGGUAGCUGAACUUAAAGUUGCUGGUGUCACAGAGACAACUAUUAACUAUGUUGUUAGUGCUCUAGAAUAAGUGAUUGGAGACGUUCAUAGUCAAACUCAAGAAUCUGUGAAAAACAGCCUAACUUUAGAGGAGCCCAUAAAAAGUGCUGUUGAGUCUCAAAUUGAUCAGUGUUUUGAAAAAAUGCAAAAUCCUUUUGUGGCAUUAAACACUGAGAGCAAGAGAAUGCAGUACUUUUCAGAGAAAUGGGGAAAAAUAGAUCCUGUUGAAUAUGUUCUCGGAACAAGAUUUGCUACACGGCGUAACAGAACAACUGGAACUUUUGCCCAAACCAUUGUUAAGGAUAAAUUUGUAUAUCUACCAAUUCUUGAGACAUUACAGUCCAUUUAUAAGCACCCUAACAUUAAAGAUAUGAUGACGAGAGACUCACAACAAAGACCAAAUUGUCUUUAUGACAUACACGAUGGAGAAUUCUUUAAGAAUCAUGCGCUCUUCUCAAAACAAAGACAUGCAGUUCAGAUCCAGCUUUUUUUUUUUUAUUAAUUUGAAUGCUCAAACCCCCUUGGAUCAAAACGAGGAAUACAUAAGUUAGGAGCUAUCUAUUUCACCCUUAGAAAUAUUUCCCCUAAAUACAACUCGAGUUUACUAAAUAUCCAUUUAGUUACUUUAUUUCAUGCACAAGAUAUCAAAACUUCUGGGUUUGAUAAAAUACUAGGGCCGCUUGUCCAGGAUAUCUCAACACUGGAAACCAAUGGAAUUCAGAUUCCUUUAUUUGAUCAUACAGUUUAUGGAAGCAUUGUCCAAGUUACUGGUGACAACCUUGGUGUCCAUUCUUUAUUUGGUUUUGUUGAAUCGUUUAGUGCUAUGUACUGUUGCUGCUUUUGCCUACUAAAGAAAGAAGACUUUCAGACAGAGUUCAGUGAAGAUAGUCCAAAGAUGUCAGAGCGAACUAAAGAACUUCAUGCCGAACACUGUCAGAGUAUGCAGAGCAAUCCCAGUCUACCUUACGUAAUGGGAGUAAAAAAGUCUUGCCUUUUAAAUUCUUUGCAAUAUUUCCACACCACUGCAAAUUUUUCGGUUGAUAUCAUGCAUGAUAUAUUACAGGGGGUUGCACAAUAUGAGAUGAAAUUACUUAUUCAGCACCUGAUUGACAAUUGCACCACAUCAGCAGAAGUACACAGAUGAAUUCAGAGUUUUAACUAUGGCUUCAUGGAACAAAACAACAAACCUCCUGGUGUAGCAUUAAGAGAGGGUUCCAAUGACCAGGGCUUAAAUGCCACUCAGAGCUGGUGUUUACUGCGUCAUCUACCCAUUAUGUUUGGAGAUCUUGUGCGUCCUAAUGAUCAGCACUGGUAUUUGUUCAUUUUAUUGCUUCAGAUAGUCAAUAUAGUGUUUUCUUCAGUUAUAUCCACUGGUAUCACCAUUUAUUUGAAACACCUGAUUGCAGAGCACCACAGUUUGUUUAAGCAUUUGUUUCCUGAUAAGAACUUGUUGGCGAAGCAUCAUUUUAUGGUGCAUUACCCCAGUUGUAUGCAGAAAAUUGGACCACUGCUACAUUGUUGGUGCAUGCGUUACGAAGCGAAGCAUAACUUUUUUAAAAAGCAGUUGAAAAGCUUUAAAAACAUAACGAAAACAUUAGCAAAGAAACACCAUUGCCAAAUGGCUUACAUUUGGCAAACAUCUGAUCCAAAUGACAUGAAAUUAGAUCCAGGGAAAAUGGCCCCCUUGAAUGAAAUGGAAGUUGGUGCUGAGAUGGCUGAGAAACUUAAUGUGCCUAUGUGGACCAAGGUCCUAAAUGUGAACUGGGUCAAGCGCUGUGGAAAUACUUAUCGGUUAGGGUUAGCGGUUUGUGUUCAAGUUCAGAAUGACAUGCCUGUAUUUCAUGUAAUCCAGAAUAUUGUUAUCAAAGAUGAGCAGGUCCUUUUGGUAACAACUGCACUGAAAACGUUUUGUUUAGCUGAACAUAUCCAUGCUUACAAAGUUGCACAUACCACAGAAGCACCUUCUGUUUUGGAGAUUAAGGAUAUUUUGCACCACAAGUUGUUUGACAUUCUGAUGUCUUAUGGUUGUGACUCUGAUUUGUUUAUUGUACCAUAUUGUUUCAUGUAAUUCUUCUUUGACUUCUCUCUUACAUUAUCACUAUCACAAUUUUUAUUUUUUUGUAUUAUUGUUUUCAUUAUUUCAUUUUUUAUUUUUUUAUGAUCACAAGUGAAUUAAAUGUAAGUGUAAUAUUGUUUA